ACUCAAAUGAAUUGACGGGGCCCCGCACAAGCGGCGGAGCAUGCGGAUUAAUUCGAUGCAACGCGAAGAACCUUACCUGGGUUUGACAUAUACCGGAAACACCUAGAGAUAGGUGCCCCUUUUUGGUCGGUAUACAGGUGGUGCAUGGCUGUCGUCAGCUCGUGUCGUGAGAUGUUGGGUUAAGUCCCGCAACGAGCGCAACCCUCGUCCUAUGUUGCCAGCGGGUAAUGCCGGGAACUCAUAGGAGACCGCCGGGGUCAACUCGGAGGAAGGUGGGGAUGACGUCAAGUCAUCAUGCCCCUUACGUCCAGGGCUUCACGCAUGCUACAAUGGCCGGUACAAAGAGCUGCAAACCCGCAAGGGCAAGCGAAUCUCAAAAAGCCGGUCUCAGUUCGGAUUGGGGUCUGCAACUCGACCCCAUGAAGUCGGAGUCGCUAGUAAUCGCAGAUCAGCAACGCUGCGGUGAAUACGUUCCCGGGGCUUGUACACACCGCCCGU
rnacentral:rRNA from 1 species